rnacentral:sRNA from 1 species
AACCACUCGCUAGGCGAGUGGUUCAAAAGAAGGCUAAUGUCGAUAAUGGGAAAAGAAAAACUCCCUUUGCUAUACUGGAAGUGCGGUCUGCGAACUGCACAAGCAAGCAAAGG